GAGCCUGCGUUUCAUUAGCUAGUUGGUAGGGNAAUGGCCUACCAAGGCAACGAUGAGUAGCUGGUCUGAGAGGAUGAUCAGCCACACUGGAACUGAAACACGGGCCAGAYUCCUACCGGGAUGAGUUUCCUCCGGAUAUCUAUCUGGAUUUCACUCCUACACCCGGAAUUCCGCCACCCUCUCAGGAYUCAAGUCUUC
rnacentral:rRNA from 1 species